GAAGAGGAAAAUGAAAUGGUCACAGCUGAGGAGAAGAGGAAAACAUCGAGAUAACGGAGGACACAAUUUGCUUGUGUCUCAUUUGAAGAGAUGUUAACCACAUUAGGUUCUAUUUGGGCUAUGCUAACGGAGGAAAUGAGAACGGAGACCAAAAAGGCGCCAAAAGAAGCACCAGGAAAGAAAAUAUAAAUUCCCUGCCAUAGUUACAUCAGAGGAAAUAUUAGAGGUGCAGGGGAAGAAGAUCGA